AACUGAUUUGAAGAGCUUGCUCAGAUAUGACGAUGGACAUUGCAAAGAGUGGCGAACGGGUGAGUAACACGUGGGAAACCUACCUCUUAGCAGGGGAUAACAUUUGGAAACAGAUGCUAAUACCGUAUAACAAUGACAACCGCAUGGUUGUUAUUUAAAAGAUGGUUCUGCUAUCACUAAGAGAUGGUCCCGCGGUGCAUUAGCUAGUUGGUAAGGUAAUGGCUUACCAAGGCGAUGAUGCAUAGCCGAGUUGAGAGACUGAUCGGCCACAAUGGGACUGAGACACGGCCCAUACUCCUACGGGAGGCAGCAGUAGGGAAUCUUCCACAAUGGGCGAAAGCCUGAUGGAGCAACGCCGCGUGUGUGAUGAAGGGUUUCGGCUCGUAAAACACUGUUGUAAGAGAAGAAUGACAUUGAGAGUAACUGUUCAAUGUGUGACGGUAUCUUACCAGAAAGGAACGGCUUAAAUACGUGCCAGCAGCCGCGGUAAUACGUAUGUUCCAAGCGUUAUCCGGAUUUAUUGGGCGUAAAGCGAGCGCAGACGGUUAUUUAAGUCUGAAGUGAAAGCCCUCAGCUCAACUGAGGAAUUGCUUUGGAAACUGGAUGACUUGAGUGCAGUAGAGGAAAGUGGAACUCCAUGUGUAGCGGUGAAAUGCGUAGAUAUAUGGAAGAACACCAGUGGCGAAGGCGGCUUUCUGGACUGUAACUGACGUUGAGGCUCGAAAGUGUGGGUAGCAAACAGGAUUAGAUACCCUGGUA
rnacentral:rRNA from 1 species